GCGGCCGCGGAACCCCCCGCCCUUCGCUUCCCAGCACCCGGGCGAGGCGGCCCCGAGCCCCGCGGUGUGUGUCCCCCCCCGCUUCCAUCACAGCGCUCCGCGGCGACCUAAAGCGGCGGAUUUUCAGAGCGAGAUUAAAAUCUCCUUAUGCAACGCGCGUUGUUAAUUGCUGACUGCGGAGCUGACAGUGAGGUGAUGCGAGCGGAGCCCUCCCCCGGCACCGCGGGCACGGCCUCGGCUCCCUCGGUGACAAGGGGACGGAGACACCGCUUGCUGCCCUGAGAGCUUCGAUCCCGGGCGAUAUAUCUAUAUACUAUCUAUUUAUGUGUAAACGUGUGCGUGCAGAGGUGGUCGUCUUGUUUUCGGCCGGUUUGUAAAGGAGAAUGUAAAGGUUUGCUUUCCAUAUGUUACAUCUCUUGAGCGCAAAAAUGAUCUCAUCUCUCUUGAAAGGGGUUUAAAAUCAUCUCUGCUCAAUCUCAAGACACUCGAAACGCUCCCAAAGAGAGAACAUCAAAGCGGCACACGGCUGUAUGGGAACAGGAGGUACAGAUGAGGUGUUGCUUCACCUGACUAUUACAGGAUUUACUGUUGCCUUCGUGGAACGUGCUCAACCCUCUCAUCCUACCAGAAGAGAUGAGAAAUACUGAGGUUAUCUCUACAGUGCAGAACUGAGGUGGAAUUACUUCACAUCGGCAAAGGCCAUCGCACGGAUUCUGAAAUAAAGAAUCAACAGCUCCAUUUAACCUCAUUCUUCCUGGUUUUUCAGCCGUCCCCAGCAGAGGCAUCUCUCAACCCACUCCAGAACCCUGAAUCCCGAGUCUAAGUCAGUGAUUCAUCACUUGCUGGCAGACAAACUAAGCGGGAAAGAGGCGAUGAAGACAAUGGUCGGUAAAGGUUUGCAUUAUGCAAUGAAACUAAAUUCACUUUCUUCUACUUUCACUUCAAGUUGUUUAAACAGGCUAAGAAAGUCCCUGACAAAACAAAAUCCACUGGAGCCUCCACGGGAGGUUGCAGGGAGCCUGUUUUUCCCAUGAUUAAAAUUCUCUUGGCAGUAUUUUUCAUCAGUUUAUUUCAAUAUUAAGACACAUAAAAUAACACAUACGUGUUCCUUUCCAACUGUAACUCACUGCUGCAGAAAGAAUUCCAUCACAAUCUAAAACUUAGACAAAAAUGUCUAAUUACUUGCCCACUCCUCAUUAGAAGUUUAAAAUCCAUUUUCAAACAUCUCUAUGUGCAGCUUCCUACCUCUGCUUUAUUUCACCACUGUGCUCUCCUAGAUCCUGGGGAAAAUAAAGUCACCUUGCAUCAAAGCUGAAGUUGUUAUUUCAAUCCCAGAGCAAGAUCUAUUUUACAAGCUAUAGGAUAUUAUUCACCUCACUAGUAACAAUCCAGCAUCAACAUCAACCAAAUAAGCACUCACAAAAAUCACAGAAUCCCAGCCUGGUUUGGGUUGAAGGGACCUUAAAGCUCAUCCAGUCCCAACCCCCUGCCAUGGGCAGGGACACCUUCCACUAGAGCAGGUUGCUCCAAGCCCCUGUGUCCAACCUGGCCUUGAACACUGCCAGGGAUGGGGCAGCCACAGCUUCUCUGGGCACCCUGUGCCAGCGCCUCAGCACCCUCACGGGGAAGAGCUUCUGCCUCAGAGCUCAUCUCAAUCUCCCCUGUUCCAGUUUGAACCCAUCACCCCUUGUCCUAUCACCACAGUCCCUAAUAAAGAGUUUGAAAAUACAUGAGAGAAGGCACAAAAGGAAACCUCAGGUCACCAAUCCGUGACUUUACACACACAUGUGCACGCAGUGCUCAUACUUUCACAUUCUGGACCAUCCCCUCCAGGAAAUCCAAGGAUUCUGUGCAUCAGUUUAAGUCCCAUCUGGAUGAGGUACCUCACCCGGUGUUUAAGAGCGGCACGUCCCGCUGCUCGGUGCUGGGGGGCGGCACAGCA